UACGAAGGGGGCUAGCGUUGUUCGGAAUUACUGGGCGUAAAGCGCGCGCAGGCGGCUAUCUAAGUCAGUGGUGAAAGCCCGGAGCUCAACUCCGGAACUGCCAUUGAAACUGUGUAGCUUGAGGACGAGAGAGGUGAGUGGAAUUCCCAGUGUAGAGGUGAAAUGCGUAGAUAUUGGGAAGAACACCGGUGGCGAAGGCAGCUCACUGGCUCAUAUCUGACGCUCAGGCGCGACAGCGUGGGGAUCAAACAGG
rnacentral:rRNA from 1 species